AGUAAGAGAAGCACAUGGGGGGUAUAAAACACAGUAAAGGGGGGAUAUAUUAAACUAAAGGUGGUGUAACGCACACAAAGGGGUAAGACAUUCAAGAGGCGAGAAGCAUUCAAGGGGUAAGAAAUUCAAAAGGAGGUUUACGAGACAUAUAUGAAGAUAUUUUUUUUGGGGGGGGGUGGGGGAGAUGCCUCAUUAUACAUCGCCUGUG